UACGUAGGGUGCAAGCGUUAAUCGGAAUUACUGGGCGUAAAGGGCUCGUAGGUGGCCAACUAAGUCAGACGUGAAAUCCCUCGGCUUAACCGGGGAACUGCGUCUGAUACUGGAUGGCUUGAGUUUGGGAGAGGGACGCGGAAUUCCAGGUGUAGCGGUGAAAUGCGUAGAUAUCUGGAGGAACACCGGUGGCGAAGGCGGCGUCCUGGACCAACACUGACACUGAUGAGCGAAAGCGUGGGGAGCGAACAGG
rnacentral:rRNA from 1 species